UUAGGAAUUUUGCGCAAUGGGGGAAACCCUGACGCAGCAACGCCGCGUGUAGGACGAAGGCCUUCGGGUUGUAAACUACUUUCGACAGGGAAAAAACAAAUGAUGGUACCUGGAGAAGAAGCACCGGCAAACUACGUGCCAGCAGCCGCGGUAAUACGUAGGGUGCAAGCGUUACUCGGAUUUAUUGGGCGUAAAGCGCAUGUAGGUGGUUUUGUAAGUCUGAUGUGAAAGCCCUGGACUCAAUUCAGGAACUGCAUUGGAUACUGCAAGACUAGAGUAUGGGAGAGGUAGGCGGAAUUCUUGGUGUAGAGGUGAAAUUCGUAGAUAUCAAGAGGAACAACAGAAGCGAAGGCGGCUUACUGGACCAUAACUGACACUGAGAUGCGACAGUGUGGGUAGC
rnacentral:rRNA from 1 species